GCCCGUCGCUCCUACCGAUUGGAUGACUCGGUGAAAUCGCCAGACAUCUUCGGAUUAAGGCAAUUAAAUCACGUUAUCUAGAGGAAGGAGAAGUCGUAACAAGGUAACGGUAGGUGAACCUGCCGUUGGAUCAGU
rnacentral:rRNA from 1 species